UACGUAGGGUGCAAGCGUUAAUCGGAAUUACUGGGCGUAAAGCGUGCGCAGGCGGUUUUGUAAGCCAGAUGUGAAAUCCCCGGGCUUAACCUGGGAAUGGCAUUUGGGACUGCAAGGCUGGAGUUUGGCAGAGGAGACUGGAAUUCCCGGUGUAGCGGUGAAAUGCGCAGAUAUCAGGAGGAACACCGGUGGCGAAGGCGGGUCUCUGGGCCGAUACUGACGCUGAGGAGCGAAAGCGUGGGGAGCGAACAGG
rnacentral:rRNA from 1 species